rnacentral:rRNA from 1 species
GACGUAGGGCGCGAGCGUUAUCCGGAAUGAUUGGGCGUAAAGCGUCCGCAGGUGGCUGUGUAAGUCUGCUGUUAAAUAGUGAGGCUCAACCUCAUAAAGGCAGUGGAAACUACACGGCUAGAGUGCGUUCGGGGCAGAGGGAAUUCCUGGUGUAGCGGUGAAAUGCGUAGAGAUCAGGAAGAACACCGGUGGCGAAAGCGCUCUGCUAGGCCGCAACUGACACUGAGGGACGAAAGCUAGGGGAGCGAAUGGG